ACAAACUAAAGGACUUGUGACCUUUUAUUAUACCCUAAUUCCCUUUAGGGGGUCAUUCAGUCUGGUCCUCAUCCUGUGUAUAUGCAUGUUGUCAUUGUUCAUGUCCCACUCCACAAAUCACUUGGAUAUGAACUCUUAUAAGUAUUCAUGCUCCAUCAACUACCCCUGAAAUUUAAGUAUUAAAGCAGAAAAAUAUUCAACAUAGAAGAACAAAAUCAUAUGCAUGAAGAGAUUUUCAGCAGGCACUUUACUCUGCAUAAGGUUGUGAAGAGCGUGCUAGAUAAGUGAAAGGAUCAUUGUUUUUAAAAACUUUUUAAAGUUUCUUUAAAAUAGACAGUUUAAUCUCAUACUAUCAAAUAAAAGUCCGGGUUAUACUUACAUAUAGAUUUUUGAUUUAACAAAGUUCCAAUCUAAGGUUUAAAGGUUUGAAAAAACCAAAAGGUUUCUUUAAAUCCACUUAGUUUAAAUAUCAUAUUUAAACUAAAAGAAACAAAUAACGUUCAUAUAUAAUUAAGUUUACCUGUCAUUAGAGUCUUUGUUCCUCUCAUAGCUUAAUUGAUAAGACCACCUAAACCAUGCAGCCUAAAAAGGAAAGUGCAGAAGAUGUUAAAAAGGGAAGUGCAAUACUUGUAUCCAAAGGUUUUCAAGUGAGAAACAUACAACAUGAAAAAAAUACAACAGAGAAAAGAGAUCAAAUAGAAUCAAAUUUAGAGCAGAUAUAAAAAACCACUGACCGAAUGCAUUCGAUUGCUAUCCCAUUUGAUUUUAUUUGAACUACUGUAUAUAGAAGCCAGCAUUCAAGACAUCAUAAGUGUAGCUGAGGUUUCUUCACAGGAAGGCCCUCACUUGACUUCUCUAUUCCAUAUCUCAAACUUUGGACUUCCUUAUCUCUUGGAAGGUGCAGUCUAAUUUUAGAAUGACUAAUAAUAUUACGACGUUACGACGAAUAUCUCCCAGAAAUACUAUUAAUUACAGCUACGCCCAGAAGCACAACCACACUUCUGGGUUGGAAAAUCUUCCUUGCUAUUAUGAAGCUGUGAAAAUUGAUGGUUUUUGUUGGGUCCUAAAACUAAAAUGGUGGGCAUGGAUAAACCUGAACUUGUGCUUUGACCUGGUUUCUACACAUUCUGAAUAAGCCUAUUGUAUACAUCUGCCAAAACUAUAAAAGUAGCAACAUUAUUAGUUGAUUACUUCAUACUUCAUCUUUAACCCUUAUGAAUGAAACGUGAAUAAGCUUGCUGCAUGACUUUCAAUUCAGCAUGUUGCCUAGUUUACCAGGAGAAGAACAAAAGGAUUUUGAUGGCUUGAUCGCUAUAAUUUAUUGGAAGCAAAGCAUACAUUAAAAAUUAUAACUAAGGAAGAUAAUUGUUUUAAUAUCUAACAAAUACUAUGAUACGAAGUAGAUGAUGAAGAUUCAUGCCUAAAAUGCAAAGAUGUAUAUGUUUUACUGAGUUAGAUUAUCACCAACAAUCCCAAUUUG
rnacentral:lncRNA from 1 species